UGCCCCUUCCUGGGGACAGCGCGGCCUUCGGGGCUCUGGAGCGCGCGACAGCGGGCACCGGCGGGGGCCUGCCCGAAAAGCAAUGCUAAUGCGACUUCUGAAGGCCGCUCUAGAUGUUCAGAUGACAGUCUGAAAGACCUUGCCGGGCGGCGCUAGGGAGAAGAGGGGAGGAAUGGGAUCCUUUUAAUUUGAUUAUACAAACUGGGCUCUAAAUAAAAUGAGAUGCCGUUACGCUGCGAUCUAAGGAAGCCGAGCUCAGCCCUGGGGCCCCAGAGAUCGCCACUGAUUCAGGGGAAGUCGCUUCUGAUGCCUGCAAGUCAUAAGAUUCGGGCAGGGGGCGGAAGGGGGACCCCGCCACUGUGGAAUGGGGACCUCAAGCCUGGAGUCUCCAAGGCAAACCUUUCUCGGGAAAGUUCUGCUCUUACUUUCUAACCCGGGAAAGGAAUCGCUGGCCAGACCCCUUCAAUAAAAUCGUAGUACUUUCGAAUUUA